AGUGAACGCUGGCGGUAGGCCUGACACAUGCAAGUCGAACGGCAGCACAGUAAGAGCUUGCUCUUACGGGUGGCGAGUGGCGGACGGGUGAGGAAUACAUCGGAAUCUACUUUUUCGGGGGGGAUAACGUAGGGAAAGUUAAGCUAAUACCGCAUACGACCUACGGGUGAAAGCAGGGGAUAUUCGGACCUUGCGCGAUUGAAUGAGCCGAUGUCGGAUUAGCUAGUUGGCGGGGUCAAGGCCCACCAAGGCGCGGAACCGUAGCUGGUCUGGGGGGAUGGUCAGCCACCCUGGAACUGGGACACGCUCCAUACUCCUACGACAGGCAGCAGUCGGGAAUAUUGGACAAUGGGCGCAAGCCUUAUCCAGCCAUACCGCGUAGGUGAAGAAGGCCUUCGGGUUGUAAAGCCCUUUUGUUGGGAAAGAAAAUCAGCAGGUUAAGACCCCGCUGUUCUGACGGUACCCAAAGAAUAAGCACCGGCUAACUUCGUG
rnacentral:rRNA from 1 species